rnacentral:rRNA from 11 species
GACCUCAAAUCAGGUAGGACUACCCGCUGAACUUAAGCAUAUCAAUA